CGACUCCAUUGAAAAGAAACAUAAUAUAUGGAAAAAUUACUAGAAAAUCUAGGAAAACUGACUGAAUGCUUUGGAAAGACACAGUCAAGAUUAACAUGCUGAGACUCGGGAGGUGGUGAUUUGCCUAGGGACACAGAAAAAUUAAAAAAAAUGUGUCACAAGAAAGUUUACAGAACCUACUCAAACUCAAAGAGAAAUCAGAGACUAAAUUCUCAAAACUGGAAGCUCCCUACAGCAUCCACACUCUUCAGCCUUGUACUAUGUGAUGUGUAUUACGAAUGGAGCCACCGGCAGUAUUUGUAUGAAC
rnacentral:lncRNA from 10 species